GCGAGCGUGGCGGAAUUGGUAGACGCAGCGGACUUAAAAUCCGCAGAUCGUAAUGAUCAUAGGGGUUCGAGUCCCCUCGCUCGUACCA
rnacentral:tRNA from 1 species